GUAGGUGGCAAGCGUUGUCCGGAAUUAUUGGGCGUAAAGCGCGCGCAGGCGGUCCUUUAAGUCUGAUGUGAAAGCCCACGGCUCAACCGUGGAGGGUCAUUGGAAACUGGGGGACUUGAGUACAGAAGAGGAAAGCGGAAUUCCAAGUGUAGCGGUGAAAUGCGUAGAGAUUUGGAGGAACACCAGUGGCGAAGGCGGCUUUCUGGUCUGUAACUGACGCUGAGGCGCGAAAGCGUGGGGAGCAAACAGGGAUUAGAUACCCUGGUAGUCCACGCCGUAAACGAUGAGUGCUAAGUGUUAGGGGGUUUCCCGCCCCUUAGUGCUGCAGCUAACGCAUUAAGCACUCCGCCUGGGGAUACGGCCGCAAGGCUG
rnacentral:rRNA from 1 species